GCGUUUGUGGUCUAGUGGUAGAAUACCUCGUUGCCAUCGAGGUGACCAGGGUUCGAUUCCCGGCAGAGGCA
rnacentral:tRNA from 1 species